GAUGAACGCUGGCGGCGUGCCUAAUACAUGCAAGUCGAGCGAACGGACGAGAAGCUUGCUUCUCUGAUGUUAGCGGCGGACGGGUGAGUAACACGUGGAUAACCUACCUAUAAGACUGGGAUAACUUCGGGAAACCGUAGCUAAUACCGGAUAAUAUUUUGAACCGCAUGGUUCAAAAGUGAAAGACGGUCUUGCUGUCACUUAUAGAUGGAUCCGCGCUGCAUUAGCUAGUUGGUAAGGUAACGGCUUACCAAGGCAACGAUGCAUAGCCGACCUGUGAGAGUGAUCGGCCACACUGGAACUGAGACACGGUCCAGACUCCUACGGGAGGCAGCAGUAGGGAAUCUUCCGCAAUGGGCGAAAGCCUGACGGAGCAACGCCGCGUGAGUGAUGAAGGUCUUCGGAUCGUAAAACUCUGUUAUUAGGGAAGAACAUAUGUGUAAGUAACUGUGCACAUCUUGACGGUACCUAAUCAGAAAGCCACGGCUAGCUACGUG
rnacentral:rRNA from 1 species